rnacentral:tmRNA from 1 species
AACCUUUCAAUUGGCGUCAAACCACCCUAUAUACAGGGUGUCGGGCAACCGACUAUGACGAUAAAUUGCCUGUGUAAUAAACCUAUCGGACCCGGGGGCGGUACCCGGCGCCUCCACCAAAAACCAUCUCGCAAUGAGUGCCGGAUGGCUUUUGA